GACGAACGCUGGCGGCGUGCUUAACACAUGCAAGUCGAACGGAAAGGCCCUGCUUUUGUGGGGUGCUCGAGUGGCGAACGGGUGAGUAACACGUGAGUAACCUGCCCUUGACUUUGGGAUAACUUCAGGAAACUGGGGCUAAUACCGGAUAUGAGCUCCUGCUGCAUGGUGUGGGUUGGAAAGUUUCGGCGGUUGGGGAUGGACUCGCAGCUUAUCAGCUUGUUGGUGGGGUAGUGGCUUACCAAGGCUUUGACGGGUAGCCGGCCUGAGAGGGUGAACGGCGACAUGGGGACUGAGGUACGGACCAGAAUCGUACGGGAGGCAGCAGGGGGGAAUAUUGCACAAUGGGCGGAAGUCUGAUGCAGCAACGCCGCGUGCGGGAUGACGGCCUUCGGGUUGUAAACCGCUGUCGCAUGUGACGAAGCGUGAGUGACGGUAAUGGGUAAAGAAGCACCGGCUAACUACGUG
rnacentral:rRNA from 1 species